rnacentral:lncRNA from 1 species
AAUCGGCUGAGCGCGAUGAUCCUUCCGUUGAGUUGCUUCACCUCCUUCUUGGUGCCGGAUGUCGCAUAUCGACGAUGGCCUUGAUCUUCUCGGGGUUGGCCUCGAUUCUCCGUUGCGAGAUGAGGAAUCCGAGGAACUUCUCCGAGGUCACUCCGAAGGCACACUUAGUCGGGUUCAGCUUCAUCCGGUGUCGUCAUAGAGUACGAAAGAUUUCUUCGAGAUCCCGG